CUGGCGGCGUGCCUAAUACAUGCAAGUCGAGCGAACUGAUUAGAAGCUUGCUUCUAUGACGUUAGCGGCGGACGGGUGAGUAACACGUGGGCAACCUGCCUGUAAGACUGGGAUAACUUCGGGAAACCGAAGCUAAUACCGGAUAGGAUCUUCUCCUUCAUGGGAGAUGAUUGAAAGAUGGUUUCGGCUAUCACUUACAGAUGGGCCCGCGGUGCAUUAGCUAGUUGGUGAGGUAACGGCUCACCAAGGCAACGAUGCAUAGCCGACCUGAGAGGGUGAUCGGCCACACUGGGACUGAGACACGGCCCAGACUCCUACGGGAGGCAGCAGUAGGGAAUCUUCCGCAAUGGACGAAAGUCUGACGGAGCAACGCCGCGUGAGUGAUGAAGGCUUUCGGGUCGUAAAACUCUGUUGUUAGGGAAGAACAAGUACAAGAGUAACUGCUUGUACCUUGACGGUACCUAACCAGAAAGCCACGGCUAACUACGUGCCAGCAG
rnacentral:rRNA from 2 species